CCUAAACAAAGUUCUUGACAUCAAAAAUGUUUCUGACUCUGUCACUAGCAACACUUCUCCAGGUUUCAACGAACUUGCCACUUCUGUGUAUGUUUACCGUCAUUCAGAUGAAUGCCCAUUGGAUUUCUUGACCCUCGAGGAUCAAAAGAAGCACGAGGAAUGAAAUGCCAGACCACUGCUGACCAAUCUACAACCUUCAGGAAAGAUGCGGUUCAGCUUUUGAACUAAGAACAAAUCAAUGGAAAAAUAAUGCUGUAUCAAAUUUCAGUGUGUAAGAGCAGAAGCUAGGGGUGGAGGAA